AAGCCCCGUAAAGAGCUGCAGGUGAAGAGACAUGUAGGAUAACACCUAGCACAGCAGCCAGUGAAACACAGAGCAUGCAGCAGGUAAGUCCUAUUUUACCUAUUUAUUUUUAUUUAAGUUAUUACUUUCAGACUCAAUGUUCUAAAAUUAAACUCGUCACGUUGGCUCGCUGAGGCGCAUCCGAGAGGACGCAGCAUAACUCUGCUGAACACAUGCAAUGACUGAGGGCGGUUUGUGCUCUUCUCCAUGCGGGUUAAACUACUCUGGUGAAGUAAUGUAUGGUCUCCUUAUUUAAAAAAUGAAAAAAACCUCAUUACUCCACAGUGCUCAGCACGCUGAGAUAAAUAUCGCGAGACUACAUGUGUUGCGAAGCAGCUGACUGCGGUGGGUGGUGCCAGGGAGGAACUCCUAUCCGUAUCCAACAGUUACACACCCGAUAAUCCAAAAGAAUCUCCCGUUACAAUUUCAGUACUGUUAGCUACUGAUAAUAGUUGACACCGCGACAUGGCCGAGACGGAUCCCAAGUCGGUGCAGGACCUUACCAAUGUGGUCCAGACACUGCUGCAACAGAUGCAGGACAAGUUCCAAACCAUGUCAGACCAGAUCAUCGGGAGGAAUAUCCUAAGCAAUCAUGUGUUCAUUGAUUAAAAUGCAUGGGUAGUUAAGGAAUGUGAUGUCUCAAGGGUGGAAUAUCUGUACCCAUUCGAGUGUUUAAUUCUUAUGUGCCUUAACUGCUCCCCCACUCGACGAGAUGAGCACGCGCAUUGACGACUUGGAGAAGAACAUCGCCGACCUGAUGACCCAGGCUGGUGUCGAAGAGAUCGAGGCUGCACCGGAAAAAGCUAAAGAGGGUCCAGGCUCAUAGUGAAGGUUCCCAAGCAUCUCAGAGUGACGUUGGUCCCACAUUCAGGAGCAGCAGACUUAGGAUUCCUGAGAAACAACUUUUGAUUUAGUGUUGUGUGAAAUGCUUUUUUUUAUAUAUUGAAUAUUGUGAUAAAAACGGUUAGUCGUGUAAUGACUUAAAGUUGAUAGUCAUUUGUAAGUUAGAGUAGUGUGGAAUGCAACGACCCAGAGGUCAUCUCUGCCACCGUACACUAAUUAAUAAAAUGACAUGAUGGGGGCCGUUUAGCACCUUUCCUGUGCCGAGAGGUUCAACCUGCAUUCUUACAGGCCAGUGGAACCUCCAUCCCCCACCAACUUGGGAAAUAGGCGCAGUGAGCAUCUGAAGCUUGUGUUUUACAUACAGCACUGUUACUACCAAGCUGUGGGAUGCGUCCCAAUUUCCACAUUCUCUAUUAAAGCUAUUUAAUACAAUG